GGAAGCUGGAGGACUUUCGAAAGCUGAGCCAGGCGUCAAUGAUUGAGGGGCGGGUCCAAUGAGGGGCUGGGCGGAGUCCCAAGGUACACUAGGAAGUUGGAAACUCCCUUGAGCAAGAAGGCGCAGAACUGGGAGGCCAGGCUGCUAAGGCCAGCCAAGGACUAAUGCUUAGCUGGAAAGGUGAAUCAAAGGCUUCUGGAAGGAUCAGAAGCCACCCUCUGCUCUCCGUGACAAAGAGACUCAGUCGCAGGGACAAGAAAUAAUCUCCGUUUGAGUCAACUCAACCCUAAUGAAGCAACUACUGUGUGCCAGAGACGGAGGGGAAAGUAAUAUGCUUUCAAAGGGUUUAGUCACCAGUGGUAAGAAUAGGGCACAGCGCUCGAAGCGCCCUGGGAAAACGUAUAUGGAGCCACAUCGUGGAGAGCUCCCUUUCAUCUAGGCCUCUUCUCUCAAGAUCAUUUCUUCUCCCUCUCCCCCUCCUGCUCCCACCCUCUUUGAUCAUCACAUACAGAGGGUAAACAACUUCGUUCAUGAAACAUACAAAAGCCCUCUUGGUUUUUUUUCCUUUAACCUCAUCCUUACUGUCACCCCUCCUCAGCCCCAUGGACAUUCAUGCUACUGUCCUUGAAUACGUAUUUUUGAGAACUGUAUACAUUUUUAUUAGUGUAUUUUUUAAAUAUUUAAUAAUGAUUUUGGACUUUAGGAUCAUCUUAUUUUCUUCCUUUUUCACUCAAUAUCUUUUUAUGGAUCUAUUCUUUCGAGUUGGUAUUGUAAUCCUAGUUCAUCGCUUCUGAUUGAUGCAUAGUAUUCCAUAUUGGACAUCCACACAUGUGACUUCCAUUCCCCAAAUGGAUUCCAAGGCUACCUCCACCUCUCCAAUACUACAAACAAUGCAGCAAUGAUCAUCCUUGUCCAUGGUCUCUUGUGGACCUAUGUGUAAUUCCUCAGCAACAUAUGCCUAAGAAUGAGAUUGGUAAAGUUAUAGUGGAUGCACAGGGCCAUCACAUUUGCUUAUGCAACUUGUCCUGUACAAAGACAUCCAGCCAUGGGCCAGUGGGAACUGGAAAACAGCUUUCCUGUGUUAUGUGCCCUGCUGAAAGAAGAUGUGCCCUUUUCUUCCCCCAAAAGCUCUGUUCCCUAGAUUUAUAAAUGGGGUCAAGAGUUGCAAGCCACUCAUUGCUGGGGCCUGCAACUGAGUAUGUGAAGCCCGGAAGAGGCAAAGAAAGCUACGCUGAACAGCGGGAAAAAUAAAAUAUAUGAUCAUGCGGGAGAACCCACAGGGCCAAGAGAAGGGAGAGCUGGGGGAUGGAGCCUCCUCGGUUGCUGAUGCCACUUCAGAGCCUGGGCCAGAUGCACAGUAGGUACUCAAUGAAAGUUGACGACUAGCUUCUAGCAGCAGAUAGGCAUCUACAAAAUGAAACUAUUUGUUAUGUUAGAGGAAUAAACUCUCCUUUCUACCCCA